AAAGAGAUUAAGUUACUACUUCUACACACUAUGAUAUAAUACAGAUGUUUCUCAUGCUGUCCUCACUGGUUGAAUUUGGAUGUGAGAUUUCUGAAUAUGUUUCCUUUAAAAUUAUUUGCUGCUUAAGCAGUUAAUCUGCAAUAGUUUUCAUUUUAACAAUUUUAACGAGAUUUCAGCACAUAAAAAAAAAAUAAAAACUGGUGUACUUGAUCAACAUGAAAAGUCACUUUAAUUUAUAAGCAACCAUCUCAUUUAACCCAAUAACUUAAUAUAAUAAUUUACUUUUUUACUUAAAUUGCAAUGAAAAGUUGUUCUGCCUUUCAUUUUAAAUGACUCCUUUUUCUAUGGAAGAUACAGACAGUUGCAUAAUGUAAAUUCAAAGAAAAUACAAUGUGAGCAUUAAUAGCCCAUGUUUUCAGCUUAAGCAGGGGGGAAGCCAAACGGCCCCAGAGCUACAGUUAUGGUGCGUUCAGACCAGAGGCGUCGAGAGCGUCAAAUCGACAGGAAAUCAUUCAUUUUCUAUGGCAGCCAGCGUCUCUCGGCGGCGAGAAGCGGCGCGUCCGUGGCCGGCGCGUCUUGAGCGUUGUGGGCGUCAGAGGAAAGUUCAAGUGCGGGCAACAUUAUGGUAAAGAGCUUUGAGGAAGUUCGGCGGCAACCUAUUGGAACAUAGAAGUGCUCCGCUCUAACGAAGUCUAGAGAACACACCAGUGUAAACUUUGGUUCCCACCAAACAAUAGUUCCGAAGACAAAAUGGAGGAGAAACUAAUUAUCGCCGUGGCGGGUUCUCCCGUAAUAUACGAUCUGUCCCUGUUUGCUUACAGGGAUAUAAAUAAAAAACAAUGCGUGGACAAAGGUGUCUGAAAUUGUUGGUGUGCCAGCGGAUGAAUGCAGAAAAAGGUGGAAGUCACUUAGGGACACUUACAGAAAAGAGUGGAAGGAGACCGAUAGGAAGAGAAGUGGCACAGUGGCAAGCAGUGCCCGUCCAUGGCGCUACAGUGGGGUCAUGGGCUUCCUCAACCCCUUUCUGGAAGACAGAACAAUUUCCAGUAAUAUGGUGGCGGGGGUUGGGGAAGCUCUGACCCCAGGGGAAAUAGAAGAUGAUGCACAGUCAGUCAGUCAGAGUCAGAUUCAGAGCCCGAGCCCACCAAGCCAGUCGAGACUUGAGGGACAGGCAGAGCCCAGAUGAAAGAGACAACACAGCACACAUUUUGAAGAGAGGCUGCUAACAUCUUUGGAGGCUGUCAGCAGAAGAGCUAGCCCUCCCAGCGCUCCUCCUGAGGACAGUGACAGUUUAUUUUUUAAAAGCCUCCUGGAGGACUUAGGACACUUUCAUUUGGCUCAAGGCAGGACUUAAAAUUACAGAUGCACAGAUUAGUGUAUGAGGCAAAAUGUCAGGAGACUGGACACACACACAACAGUAACGGGGUGCAGCUGACAAGGUUGUGAGAAGUGGUAUUUCCCUCGCAGUCUUGUCAUCUGCACCUUGUGCGCUCUCUCUCUCUCUCUCACACACACACACACACACAUUCAGACAUUUGUACACUAACUGUUCAUUGAAGUUCCUUAAAGAAAUCUGUUCAAGUUUUUGUGAUAAAGAUGUAUAAUUUAUGUUCAGAAUUUAUUUGUUUGUGUGUCAAAGACACAAUGCUAAAUAUUUUGUCACGGGAUGCAGCUGACAAGGCUAUGAGGGGUGUUAUUUCCCCUCGCAGUCUUGUCAGCUGCACCUUGUGCUCAUGUUCAAAAAAUUUUAUAUUUUCUUAUUUUUUUUUAUUAAUAUAAUAAAAUAUUUGCAAAUACA